CACAGCUUGGACAUAUCUCAGUGUGUCUCCAGCUAACAAACAGGCCGACUCUCCGGGAGAUCCCCCAUGUGUUGUCAUGGCAGUCCUCCAAACACAGUAGGGAUGCAUUUAGGGGCUUUGUAUUUCCUGUGUUUACCAAGCGUCUUGGGCAAUCCCGCAGUGAGGCAGGCGCAGGAUGCCUUCUCCACAAUGGCAGCAGUGAAGUCGUUGGAUCCUUCACGGAGGAACGGCACACACACAAGCAGAGGAGGGAAGCUAAUCCCGGAUGACAAUAGUGUGCAAGGCCUGAGCUGUUAUGUCACAUUUCCGUGGUGCUGACUAGAAUGCUAAUAACAGACUCCACACUCAACUUUCCCACUCAUCACGUCUUAACUAAGCAGAACUCAGCUCUUGGUGCAAUGCUACGCGGAGAUCUUUGUGGGCCAUAAGUGGAUUUGUCAAGCAGGAAACCGGGGUGUAUUUAAAGAAGGAUCUAAGUAAAGGUCAGAGGAGCUCAUCUGUUUUUAGCUUGACAUCAGCUAAUAUAGUUCAACACGAUUUGGGUUGGAGCUGUAAGUGGCUUUUCCAGGUGUGAGCUCAUUGUAUGAGACAUUGUUCCUAUUCACUAAGCACGCAAUAAGCACCGGUAAUGGACUACUGUAAAGCCUUAAAACCUCUACAAUUGUGGUAGCAGGGGACAAACUGUCAUCAGUUUGCAUCUGUCUUUGUUAAGAUCGGCUCAAUUAUGCGCUAAUGUAUUCUGCUGUUUAGCAUAAUGAAAGGCCAAUGAAAUGCUCUUUACUGUGAGGUCCCAUCCAAGACAAUAAGUGUGUUUGUAGCUGUCACUCGAGAGGAAAUAGUGUCUCUUUGGAUGCUACAAAAUUUGAUUGAUUUUGUUUCAUGGUUUGAAUUCAUUUGUUUUAUUCGUUUGUUAAUUGGUUGCAGGUUUUGUGUGCUAUGUAUUAAAACUAAUAAUAACAAUAUAGAUUCAAAUUGAUUGAGGGCCACCUCAUAAAAUAAAAAAUCUGUCCAUACAUUUUCUCAAUCAUAGUUCUGCGGGCAGUCAAUCAGACUUUUUUGCUAAUUUGGUAAAAAAAACAAAAACAUAACGGUUAAAACAAGCAUUUGAUCGACAAGUUAAAAAACGGAAGGGCCAACAUUUUGUUUCAUGAAGUGCAAAAGAUUCAUGAACCAAAGAGUAGGUCAGGUUGCAUUGUUGUCAGCUGACUUGUACUUCACAACACAUUCCUAGUGUUCUUCCAUUUCUCAUAGCAAAAGUGACAUUGCAACCCCCUGCAGAGUGGCGUCCUUCAUCCCUCAGUGAGUCUGCUGUCUAAUGAGGGGCUUAGAGCCAUUACUUCAUUGCCAAGUGCUUUGGCUUUACCUCCAAGUUAUACAGCCUAUCUGCACUUGCCUCCUUCUUUAAGAUGCUUGGAAUAUCACCCAUUAUAAUAUGAAAGAAGAAAAACAAACUGAGGAAAUAUGCUCACAAAUCAUCUACAGCACAAAAGCUCCUCAUCUCUGACAAGAUAAGGUUGCUCAUGACAAACAUCUGGUACUGGCCAUGCUGUCUACACUGAAUCACCACCAUCAGAGUGCACGUGCACACUUUUAGGACACUACCCUCCCCCCGCACAUUCACCCCAUGUUAUGUUCCUGGAAGCUUGGAAAGAAGUAAUCAAUGAGUCAUGUGUCCUGAUAACAACCAACUCCCCAUGGGGCAUCUUCAAAGGGCUCCUGAGGAGAUGGAGAGAGAAAGAGGCAUUGCUCUCCAUGGGGUAAUUACAAGUUGGAGCUCAAUGGUUUCUUCUCCUUUUCAGAAGAGAGCUUAAAGACAGUCCUGUAAACAAUUCAACGAGUCCUGUUAGUGCAGCAGGAGGUGUCUUCAACCACUGUGCUCCAACUGGUGAUGUCAUGGACACAAAUUCAAACUGUACUCCACUGUGUUCAGGUGCAAUGGUUACUCGGUAAAAAUAUUAUACAACAGCUGAAAAGUCAGGAGACACACAUGGAGACAAUUUCAUGUUUGGUGCAGCUGAGUACACGGCUCUCUGUCCCGUGACAACCAGCCAAGUGUUUGGGUGCUUCUCAGUUAAAUGGGUAAUAAACUAGACAAACACAACAGCGAACAAACCUGUCUGGCAGUCUUAAAGCAUUUUGUUUGUCUGCCCUGCUUGGAACAAGUGGUCAUCCAAUCAUGGAACUCAUUUAUUUUAUAAGACACAUUAAAUCACAUUGAAAAGAAAAUUUGUCAUUUUUUUUAGAUGAAGAAAUUGACAUUGCAGCAGCUGCACAAAAGAAUCCGAGAGUGUUGCAUUUCUGUGUUUUCAGGUGAAACAUGAUCACAAUAUCCAUGAAAGUUAGAUAGUCAACGCUUGAGAGAGUGUGACCAAAUUGAGACUGUAUGGUUAAGGAUGAUAUGACUCCCAUGAGCCUUGUCAGCAAAGCAGUAUAAAAACCAGUCAUUAGCUCCAUUUAAUGAGACAGUGCAAUAAAGAAAUGUGUGUGCA